rfam:Alligator mississippiensis ScZkoYb_5, whole genome shotgun sequence.
CCAUGCGUUUUGUGGCAUCUUUGAUGGAUCAAAACCUGUAUAAUAGGCAAAAGGUCUAUACCCUAUGCUGACAGGUGUGGGUAACCCAUUAAAUCCCAUAUGUGACGCGGAUCAGGUAUUGCAAUUAUUCCCCAUGAACGAGGAAUUCCCAGUAAGUGAGAGUCAGAAGCUCGUGCUGAUUAAG